UAAGGAAUAUUGGACAAUGGAGGCAACUCUGAUCCAGCCAUGCCGCGUGAAGGAAGACGGCCUUAUGGGUUGUAAACUUCUUUUAUACAGGAAGAAACCUUUCCACGUGUGGAAAGUUGACGGUACUGUAAGAAUAAGGAUCGACUAACUCCGUGCCAGCAGCCGCGGUAAUACGGAGGAUCCAAGCGUUAUCCGGAUUCAUUGGGUUUAAAGGGUCCGUAGGCGGUCUGAUAAGUCAGAGGUGAAAUCCUGCAGCUCAACUGUAGCAUUGCCUUUGAUACUGUUAGGCUUGAGUUAUUGUGAAGUAGUUAGAAUGUGUAGUAUAGCGGUGAAAUGCAUAGAUAUUACAUAGAACACCAAUUGCGAAGGCAGCUUACUAAGUACUAACUGACGCUGAUGGACGAAAGCGUGGGUAGCGAACAGGAUUAGAUACCCUGGUAGUCCACGCCCUAAACGUUGAUUACUCGCUGUUGGCGAUACACUGUCAGCGGCUAAGCGAAAGCGUUAAGUGAGCCACCUGGGGAGUACGCCGGCAACGGUGAAACUCAAAGGAAUUGACGGGGGCCCGCACAAGCGGUGGAGCAUGUGGUUUAAUUCGAUGAUACGCGAGGAACCUUACC
rnacentral:rRNA from 1 species